rnacentral:rRNA from 1 species
GUAGUCCAUGCCGUAAACGUUGGGCGCUAGGUGUGGGGCUCUUUCCACGAGUUCCGUGCCGCAGCUAACGCAUUAAGCGCCCCGCCUGGGGAGUACGGCCGCAAGGCUAAAACUCAAAGGAAUUGACGGGGCCCGCACAAGCGGCGGAGCAUGCGGAUUAAUUCGAUGCAACGCGAAGAACCUUACCAAGGCUUGACAUACGCAGAAAACCGGCAGAGAUGUCGGGUCCGCAAGGGCUGCGUACAGGUGGUGCAUGGUUGUCGUCAGCUCGUGUCGUGAGAUGUUGGGUUAAG